rnacentral:tRNA from 1 species
UGCGGGGUGGAGCAGCGGCAGCUUGCUAGGCUCAUAACCUGGAGGUCGCAGGUUCAAAUCCUGUCCCCGCAA